UACGGUUCACCUUCGAAUAAGUAGACGUUAAAUGGAAACCAGACAACACGGUCUCGCGAUGUCGUCAUCGUCUUCCUCCUCCUCUAGGUCACGCACCAAAUGUUCAUCCCUCAAUUAUCCGUCUAAGAAGCUCAAUUACAUGAUCUGCUUGUCUCCAUCCCUUGGUCCCUCUCAAUCUCCUCGAACCAUGAAUAUAAAUGGGCGUGCGAAGGCUGCACCUUUCUGAACACCUACAAGAACUCAGUGUGAGGACGCGAUCGCCGUCGUCUUCUCCUCCCCUGAUUUGACCGAUUCGGGUCUCGAAAGCAAAAACAUGAACAAUCGGAUUGCUCUCCCGGGUGGGUUUUCCUUCCUCCGCGGCGGUUAGCAAGCGCAAUGCCAUGUUUGACGACGCCAUCGAGGUUGAUGGUGGUUCGGAGAAGAAGAUCAACGAAAGGUGAGUUCCAUCUGCGAGAUUUGGAAGCGCGAUUUUUGUGUGUUCUUCCCUGAGAUAGAUGAGAUUUUCUUGGAAAUCGAACUGGUGGAAAGAGUAUACUUGUUUUCUCUCAGUAGAUGCGACUCAAUCACCGUGGCUAAUUCUGCAUGCUGACUGGUUUUUCUGUUAGUUUACAAGCUUGGAGAAUCGAGAUGGUUGGGAAAGAGGCGAUUCCUGGUUUAUCCUAUGUGUAAGGGAAGAGGGUGAGGGGCGAUCAAGAAGUUAGAGCUUCCAGUGUUUCCUAGCGAUCAUUUCGCUCUGCUUUUAACUCUCUGCCCAUAUGAGAUUAAACAAUCGGAGCUCUAAGUUCCUUUUUCCCCUCUGGAAACUCGUGGUUGGAAUACUGAUAAGAGGUUUCAUGUUUUUUUUCUUCAUUGUUUUGAACUGAGCGUCUUAUGGCCAACGCCAACACUUGUAAUGAAGAUUAUGAAACUAAUCAGAGUAUCACUAAACACA